AGUGAACGCUGGCGGUAGGCCUAACACAUGCAAGUCGAACGGCAGCACAGUAAGGGCUUGCUCUUACGGGUGGCGAGUGGCGGACGGGUGAGGAAUACAUCGGAAUCUACUUUUUCGUGGGGGAUAACGUAGGGAAACUUACGCUAAUACCGCAUACGACCUACGGGUGAAAGCAGGGGAUCUUCGGACCUUGCGCGAUUGAAUGAGCCGAUGUCGGAUUAGCUAGUUGGCGGGGUAAAGGCCCACCAAGGCGACGAUCCGUAGCUGGUCUGAGAGGAUGAUCAGCCACACUGGAACUGAGACACGGUCCAGACUCCGACGGGAGGCAGCAGUGGGGAAUAUUGGACAAUGGGCGCAAGCCUGAUCCAGCCAUACCGCGUGGGUGAAGAAGGCCUUCGGGUUGUAAAGCCCUUUUGUUGGGAAAGAAAAGCAGCAGGUUAAGACCCCGCUGUUCUGACGGUACCCAAAGAAUAAGCACCGGCUAACUUCGU
rnacentral:rRNA from 1 species